rnacentral:rRNA from 1 species
AGGUGACUAUAGCAUCAGGGUUCCACCUCUUCCCAUUCCGAACAGAGAAGUUAAGCCUGAUCACGCCGAUGGUACUGCGUAACAGUGGGAGAGUAGGUAGUCGCC